CGAGGCGAACCGGGGAAACUGAAACAUCUCAGUACCCCGAGAAAAAGAAAUCAACCGAGAUUCCCCCAGUAGCGGCGAGCGAACGGGGAGCAGCCCAGAGUCAACAUCAAUAUUUACCACAAGAGAAGGGUCUGGAAAAGCCGGCAAUAAAGGGUGAUAGCCCCUUUUGGGAAGUCGUAAGGGUUGUAAGUUCAAGGUUUAAGGUUGUAUUUCACUCCCCUCGUCGGGGUUUGGGGGGCCUUUCCUUCAAGGUAAAAUACUUCCUAUCGGUCAGUCAGGAGUCCAAGCCGUGAGAGGAAAUCGAAAAGAACCCCGGCGAGGGGAGUGAAAUAGAACCUAAAACCGUGUACGUACAAGCAGUAGGAGCACCCGAAAGGGUGUAUCACCCUACCUUUUGUAUAAUGGGUCACCCUUCUCUAGUGGGAAAUAAGGAUGUCGACAUAGGGGAGCCGUAGGGAAACCGAGUCUUAACUGGGCGUUAAGUUGCAGGGUAUAGACCCGAAACCCGGUGAUCUAGCC
rnacentral:rRNA from 1 species